rnacentral:rRNA from 1 species
GACGGAGGGUGCGAGCGUUGUUCGGAAUUACUGGGCGUAAAGCGCGCGCAGGUGGGUGCGUAAGUCGGAGGUGAAAGCGCAGGGCUCAACCCUGCGACGCCCUUCGAGACUGCGUGUCUAGGGACCGGUAGAGGUGAGUGGAAUUCCCGGUGUAGCGGUGGAAUGCGUAGAUAUCGGGAAGAACACCGGAGGCGAAGGCGGCUCACUGGGCCGGAUCCGACACUGAGGCGCGAAAGCGUGGGGAGCAAACAGG